GUUAUUAUCUUGAAUAUUAUUAUAGAUAGAGAUAAACUGUAAACAGCAAUAAUGUACAGCAAUUUAAGACUCAAAAAUAAGUCAAAAUGACCAAAAUGGUCAAUAGACCCCCUAAGAAGUUAUUGUCCUUUAUAAUCAAUUUUUAACAAUUUUCAUAAAAUUUGUAAAUUUUUACAAACAUUUUCCACUGAAACUACACGGACAAGUUCAUUAUAGAUAGAGAUAAUUGUAAGCAGCAAGAAAGUUCAGUAAAGUGAGAUGUACAAACACAUCACAAUCACCUAAACACA
rnacentral:lncRNA from 1 species